rnacentral:rRNA from 1 species
GUAAUUCUAGAGCUAAUACGUGCGUCAAACGACAUAUGUCGUGUCAUUAUUAGAUAGAAACCAAUGCGGCUUCGGCCGGAAUUGUGGUGAGUCAUGAUAAUUUAGCGGAUCGCAGGCCUCGUGUCGGCGAUGGAUCAUUCAAGUUUCUGCCCUAUCCGCUUUGGAUGGUAGGGUAUUGGCCUACCAUGGCUUUAACGGGUAACGGAGAAUUAGGGUUCGAUUCCGGAGAGGGAGCCUGAGAGACAGCUACCACAUCCAAAGAAGGCAGCAGGCGCGUAAAUUACCCAUUCCUGAUUCCGGGAGGUAGGGACAAAAAUUAACUUAAACGGCCCUUU